rnacentral:rRNA from 1 species
AUUGAACGCUGGCGGCAUGCCUUACACAUGCAAGUCGAACGGUAACAGGCCGCAAGGUGCUGACGAGUGGCGAACGGGUGAGUAAUGUAUCGGAACGUGCCCAGUCGUGGGGGAUAACUGCUCGAAAGAGCAGCUAAUACCGCAUACGACCUGAGGGUGAAAGCGGGGGAUCGCAAGACCUCGCGCGAUUGGAGCGGCCGAUAUCAGAUUAGCUAGUUGGUGGGGUAAAGGCCUACCAAGGCAACGAUCUGUAGUUGGUCUGAGAGGACGACCAGCCACACUGGGACUGAGACACGGGCCAGACUCCUACGGGAGGCAGCAGUAAGGAAUAUUGCGCAAUGGGCGAAAGCCUGACGCAGCGACGCCGCGUGGGGGAUGAAGGUCUUCGGAUUGUAAACCCUUUCGGGAGGGAAGAUGGAACGAGCAAUCGUUCGGACGGUACCUCCAGAAGCAGCCACGGCCAACUUCGUGCCAGCAGCCGCGGUAAAG